rnacentral:rRNA from 1 species
CUGGGCUAGACAACGGCGGACCGUCCUAGAAAUAGGAUUUUCCCUUCGGGGACUGCCGGUUCAGGUGCUGCAUGGCUGUCGUCAGCUCGUGUCGUGAGAUGUUGGGUUAAGUCCCGCAACGAGCGCAACCCUCGCCCUUAGUUGCCAUCAUUCAGUUGGGCACUCUAAGGGGACUGCCGGUGAUAAGCCGCGAGGAAGGUGGGGAUGACGUCAAGUCAUCAUGGCCUUUAUGUCCAGGGCUACACACGUGCUACAAUGGCCGGUACAAAGCGCUGCAAACCCGCGAGGGGGAGCUAAUCGCAAAAAACCGGUCUCAGUUCGGAUUACAGGCUGCAACUCGCCUGCAUGAAGCUGGAAUCGCUAGUAAUGGCAUAUCAGAACGAUGCCGUGAAUACGUUCCC